UACAGAGGGGGGCAAGCGUUUAUUCGGAAUUAUUGGGCGUAAAGGGCGCGUAGGCGGCUUGGCAAGUGGAUGGUGAAAUCCCUCGGCUUAACUGAGGAACUGCCGUCCAAACUGCUUUGCUUGAGACCGGGAGAGGUGAGUGGAAUUCCCAGUGUAGCGGUGAAAUGCGUAGAUAUUGGGAGGAACACCAGUGGCGAAGGCGGCUCACUGGACCGGCAUUGACGCUAAAGCGCGAAAGCCAGGGGAGCAAACGGG
rnacentral:rRNA from 1 species